UUCUACAAAGUAAUAUUAACAUUUAUUGAAUACUAGAUUUUCCUAAGUACAAUUGUAAAUAAAUACACAAUUAAUUCAUGUACAAAAUGAACUGUGUGGGAUUAGUAAGUUUUAUUAGAUAUUUUAUCGUUUUAUUAAACUGUUUUAUAGGCACUGCACAUAGACCUAAUAAUACCAAGUAAAUUUUAAUCAAAAGCUUUAGUGCAUCCAAGUCUGUGCAUUGCGCAUGCGCCAUUGGACCCGCCAUUACCCGCUUGGAUCAGAGGAGUGCUGUUUUACGUGAACCAAAGCAUCGAGGUGAGACGUGAAGCUAUUAUCCGGAGCCUCAUACUGUACCUUGGCAAAAAAGAAGAGGAACUUUUUGAAGAAUGCCUGGAGGACAGUCACAGUGACACCAUGUAACACAUCCUUAAGAUUCUGGUGGUCUAUGGAGCUGGUGUAGAGGAUUCAGUGGAUGCAUCUAUUAUUCUUGAAGGCCGGGAGAUCCUAACAGGAUGUCACAACGUGGCUAAAGCUUGUGCACUACUUAUGGGGUUGAUUUAUGCCCUCAAUCUUGCAUACCCCAAAGCCCUGUGCUAUACUUUUGAGGUGUUUCAAAAACUUUUUCUAGAGCUGGAUGGGAUUAAGUUGUCCUCUAAAGUUCAAACUUUAAAGUCCAAGCUGCUGACUUAAAGUUUGUUUGUGAUGGCAAGUCCUGCACAUUAUUGGAUGCCAUUACAACACCCCAACUCAGUGUUCCAUCAUGCAUGUUCUGGUGAACCCUUUUCAUAAAUAAUUAUUUUGGGUUGUUCUGUUGUUUUGAAAUUGUUUCCCACACUUUGGUACAUAAUUUGUUCUUUUGCCAUUUGUACUAAAUUGACAUUUAGUAGCGUUUUCAGUUUUAUGCCUUAUAACCACCUGGUCUUACUGUCUUUUUUUUUUUUUUUCACAAACUUUUAACACGAAGAGAGACCAGACUUUAGAAGCAUCAAGGUGUUUAUACUGUGUUUUGAAUUUACUUUAUUCAAGGCAAAUAGUGGUGGGAAUUUGUUUUGUUAAAGUUAUAAUUUUUUGCCAGUUUUCAUUUACUUUGAACUAGAGCAUUUUUACAUAUUUAAUAAACAUCUUUAACAUC